GCUCCUAAAGGAUAACAGCUCAUCCACUGGUCUUAGGAACCAGAAACUCUUGGUGCAAAUCCAAGUAGCAGCU
rnacentral:tRNA from 1 species